rnacentral:rRNA from 1 species
GUCCACGCCCUAAACGAUGUCGACUAGGUGUUGGGGAAGGAGACUUCUUUAGUACCGUAGCUAACGCGUGAAGUCGACCGCCUGGGGAGUACGGUCGCAAGAUUAAAACUCAAAGGAAUUGACGGGGACCCGCACAAGCGGUGGAUGAUGUGGAUUAAUUCGAUGCAACGCGAAAAACCUUACCUACCCUUGACAUGCCAGGAACCUUGCUGAGAGGUGAGGGUGCCCGAAAGGGAGCCUGGACACAGGUGCUGCAUGGCUGUCGU